rnacentral:rRNA from 1 species
GAGUAACCUGCCCCGGACUCUGGAAUAAGCGCUGGAAACGGCGUCUAAUACCGGAUACGAGACGCAACCGCAUGGUUAGUGUCUGGAAAGUUUUUCGGUCUGGGAUGGACUCGCGGCCUAUCAGCUUGUUGGUGAGGUAAUGGCUCACCAAGGCGACGACGGGUAGCCGGCCUGAGAGGGCGACCGGCCACACUGGGACUGAGACACGGCCCAGACUCCUACGGGAGGCAGCAGUGGGGAAUAUUGCACAAUGGGCGAAAGCCUGAUGCAGCGACGCCGCGUGAGGGAUGACGGCCUUCGGGUUGUAAACCUCUUUCAGCAGGGAAGAAGCGAAAGUGACGGUACCUGCAGAAGAAGCACCGGCUAACUACGUGCCAGCAGCCGCGGUAAUACGUAGGGUGCGAGCGUUGUCCGGAAUUAUUGGGCGUAAAGAGCUUGUAGGCGGUUUGUCGCGUCUGCUGUGAAAAUCCGGGGCUCAACCCCGGACUUGCAGUGGGUACGGGCAGACUAGAGUGUGGUAGGGGAGACUGGAAUUCCUGGUGUAGCGGUGAAAUGCGCAGAUAUCAGGAGGAACACCGAUGGCGAAGGCAGGUCUCUGGGCCACUACUGACGCUGAGAAGCGAAAGCAUGGGGAGCGAACAGGAUUAGAUACCCUGGUA